rnacentral:rRNA from 1 species
GAUGAACGCUAGCUACAGGCUUAACACAUGCAAGUCGAGGGGUAACGAGAGGAAAGCUUGCUUUCCUUGUCGACGACCGGCGCACGGGUGAGUAACGCGUAUCCAACCUGCCCCCAACUAGGGAAUAACCUUGCGAAAGUAAGACUAAUACCCUAUAAUUUCCUCAGAUGUCAUCUGACGAGGAAUAAAGAUUUAUCGGUUGUGGAUGGGGAUGCGUCUGAUUAGCUUGUUGGCGGGGUAACGGCCCACCAAGGCAACGAUCAGGAGGGGUUCUGAGAGGAAGGUCCCCCACAUUGGAACUGGGACACGGUCCAAACUCCUACGGGAGGCAGCAGUGAGGAAUAUUGGUCAAUGGGCAGAAGCCUGAACCAGCCAAGUAGCGUGCAGGAUGACGGCCCUAUGGGUUGUAAACUGCUUUUAUACAGGAAUAAAGUUAGCCACGUGUGGUUAUUUGUAGGUACUGUAUGAAUAAGGACCGGCUAAUUCCGUGCCAGCCGCCGCAGUAA